rnacentral:rRNA from 1 species
AUUGAACGCUGGCGGCAUGCUUUACACAUGCAAGUCGAACGGUAACAGGGAGCUUGCUCCGCUGACGAGUGGCGAACGGGUGAGUAAUGCGUCGGAACGUGCCGAGUAGUGGGGGAUAACGCAUCGAAAGGUGGGCUAAUACCGCAUACGUACUGAGGUAGAAAGUGGGGGACCUUCGGGCCUCACGCUAUUCGAGCGGCCGACGUCUGAUUAGCUAGUUGGUGAGGUAAAGGCUCACCAAGGCGACGAUCAGUAGCGGGUCUGAGAGGAUGAUCCGCCACACUGGGACUGAGACACGGCCCAGACUCCUACGGGAGGCAGCAGUGGGGAAUUUUGGACAAUGGGCGCAAGCCUGAUCCAGCCAUGCCGCGUGUCUGAAGAAGGCCUUCGGGUUGUAAAGGACUUUUGUCCGGGAGCAAAUGCUGGUGGCUAACAUCCACCGGAGCUGAGAGUACCGGAAGAAUAAGCACCGGCUAACUACGUGCCAGCAGCCGCAGUAAAAC